CAAACUGAAGAUGGCGACCGGCGCACGGGUGAGUAACACGUAUCCAACCUGCCGAUAACUCCGGAAUAGCCUUUCGAAAGAAAGAUUAAUACCGGGUAGCAUACGAAUAUCGCAUGAUAUUUUUAUUAAAGAAUUUCGGUUAUCGAUGGGGAUGCGUUCCAUUAGUUUGUUGGCGGGGUAACGGCCCACCAAGACUACGAUGGAUAGGGGUUCUGAGAGGAAGGUCCCCCACAUUGGAACUGAGACACGGUCCAAACUCCUACGGGAGGCAGCAUG
rnacentral:rRNA from 1 species